rnacentral:rRNA from 1 species
UACGUAGGGGGCAAGCGUUGUCCGGAUUUAUUGGGCGUAAAGAGCGUGUAGGCGGCCAGACAGGUCUGCUGUGAAAACUCGAGGCUCAACCUCGAGACGCCGGUGGAAACCGUUUGGCUAGAGUCCGGAAGAGGAGAGUGGAAUUCCUGGUGUAGCGGUGAAAUGCGCAGAUAUCAGGAAGAACACCCGUGGCUAAGGCGGCUCUCUAGUACGGUACUAACGCUGAGACGCGAAAGCGUGGGGAGCGAACAGG